CUCCCAUUUAUUUGCAGAUUGGAAUGGUAAUUGAAAGAACUUUCAUGAUAUUAUUCAGUCUUUGCAUCAAGCAUGCCACUUAUUUAAUCUGCACAAGUGUCCUGCAAGAGAGACACUAGGAUCCCUGUCUGAAGCCUGUUCUCUUCCGCUGAUACUUCGCUGCUACCCCAGAACAAGCCUACUCCUCCCUCGGGGACAGAAGCAUCAUGACUGAGUCCUCCCCACUCUCCACUCCCAUCACUAGCCAUCAACAUCUCGGCCAGAGUUCCAGGCCCCUCUGCCUUGAUGACAAUGCUUGGGAAUUUCUUCAGUUGGUCAAUGACCUUCUUACACAGCUGUCCCCAGAACUGAACCUGGCAUUGAAAGUACUUUAAUCAGCAUUUAAUGACCCAGUCGAAAAUUCAUCGUUUGGACCCAAGCACUGGUAGGAAGGCAGGAGGGGAGGCCUGCCUGCCUGCCUGGCUCCCUCCCUCCUGAGCCCUACAGCAGGCCAUGGAGUGGUGCGUGAGUUCUUACUGUGCCAGCCACAUUCCCAGAAACUUCCAGCAGAGGUUAACCCUGCUCCUCUCAGGUAGGAGACAAUGAAUGGACAUUAACAAAUGGACUCCCUGUGUUGGCUAAUGCCACUCCCUACUCAAAUGCAGACCAACCUAGGAUGGCUCCAAUGGCUCAUGUCCCAAUUCCCGGUCCCUAAGGCUGUGUUCAUGUGCUAUCCUGCCUGCCCCUUCAUCCCUCCCUUCCCAACAUGAAGCCAUGCCUGAACUGGACACCCUUCCAUACCAACUGAAGAAAAAGUAAUUCAACUCCAGUCCACCCUGGGUGCAGCAGUCUGUCUGCCAAGAUGUCUUCAUGCCGCAUAGCUAUUAUUUUCAGGAG
rnacentral:lncRNA from 1 species